GACGAACGCUGGCGGCGUGCUUAACACAUGCAAGUCGAACGGAAAGGCCCUGCUUGCAGGGUACUCGAGUGGCGAACGGGUGAGUAACACGUGGGUGAUCUGCCCUGCACUUCGGGAUAAGCUUGGGAAACUGGGUCUAAUACCGGAUAGGAGCCAUCUUUAGUGUGGUGGUUGGAAAGUUUUUUCGGUGUAGGAUGAGCUCGCGGCCUAUCAGCUUGUUGGUGGGGUAAUGGCCUACCAAGGCGGCGACGGGUAGCCGGCCUGAGAGGGUGUACGGCCACAUUGGGACUGAGAUACGGCCCAGCCUCCUACGGGAGGCAGCAGUGGGGAAUAUUGCACAAUGGGCGCAAGCCUGAUGCAGCGACGCCGCGUGGGGGAUGAAGGCCUUCGGGUUGUAAACUCCUUUCGCUAGGGACGAAGCUUUUUGUGACGGUACCUAGAUAAGAAGCACCGGCUAACUACGUG
rnacentral:rRNA from 1 species